ensembl:lncRNA
AAGGCUUAUACAGCUGUCCUGUGCGUUAGAUGAAGGGAGUGCCUGUCUGUCUGCUCCAUCUUUCACCUCCAGUAACUUUUGAACCUGAUGGCUGUUUUACACAGAUGAGAUGGAGGAGCAGAGGUUCCAGACAUAUUCAGUGAGUUCCGUGAAGAAUUCAGCCAGGCUAAAGGACAGUGUAUUAAUGCUCUGAAUGGGGGAGACCUGCAGGUGAUCUCAACUUCUAACAGAAUAAGAAGAGGAGGCUGCCUGCUGUUUGCACUGACCGAGGCUGGGUGUGAUACAGGCACACCCAGCAGCAAUGCCUGGACAUCGUGGACAUCACACGUUGCCUUCUGCAGCCAUCCCAGGUUACAAAUCCAAACUGCCCAGCUGACUCAAGCUAGGAGCCUCCAAUUUAUCCACGGGCUUCUUCUGGCACAGAACCCACACGUCGUGCAAAGGACAGCUCCUCCAGAGAACAUACAUUUUGUUUACGAGGCAAGCCAUUUACGAAUGCCAAACCCUGCAAAUUCUAGCUGGAAGGAUACCAGCAAAUAUCUCCACUGCAGAGUUUACCCACUGCCCAUCAGCUCUGCCCAUGCUGCACACACGCCCUCCGCUCAUGCUCUCAUAGCCAUGCCCACGCUGUGUGCUGGGACUUGGCAGUGCGUAC